UACGGGGGGGCAAGCGUUGUUCGGAAUUACUGGGCGUAAAGGGCUCGUAGGUGGCCAACUAAGUCGGACGUGAAAUCCCCAGGCUCAACUUGGGAACUGCGUCCGAUACUGGAUGGCUUGAAUUCGGGAGAGGGAUGCAGAAUUCCAGGUGUAGCGGUGAAAUGCGUAGAUAUCUGGAGGAACACCGGUGGCGAAGGCGGCAUCCUGGACCAAUAUUGACGCUGAGGAGCGAAAGCCAGGGGAGCAAACGGG
rnacentral:rRNA from 1 species